GCUGAUUCAAAUAUUUUUGCAAACCGCUCUUAAGAAAAUACUUGGUAACCACACCAGAACCUGGAGCCAAACUAGUUUUAACCCAUGGCUUGACCUCGAGUCCUAAUUCACAAGCCUUCUUUGCAACAAGAGCAGCACCGAGCAUCACACUGGGAUUUGAGGUGUUGGUGCAGCUCGUUAUUGCUGCAAUGACAAUACUACCAUGUUUGAGCUCCGCAGGUUGUCCUUGAAAGGAAAAUUUUACAACUUUGUCCUGCGACUCCUUGGGCACUGCAAAGCCCUUGAAUCCAACUUUGUUAUCAAGACAUGAAUGCCAGUCUGUUUUCAUCUCUUUCAGUAUAACUCGGUCAUGAGGCCUCUUUGGACCUGAA
rnacentral:misc_RNA from 1 species